rnacentral:rRNA from 1 species
GCCAGACUCCUACGGGAGGCAGCAGUGGGGAAUAUUGGGCAAUGGGCGCAAGCCUGACCCAGCAACGCCGCGUGAAGGAAGAAGGCUUUCGGGUUGUAAACUUCUUUUGUCAGGGACGAAGCAAGUGACGGUACCUGACGAAUAAGCCACAGCUAACUACGUGCCAGCAGCCGCGGUAAUACGGAGGGUGCAAGCGUUGUCCGGAAUCAUUGGGCGUAAAGAGUUCGUAGGCGGUAUGUUAAGUCUGGUGUUAAAUGCAGAAGCUCAACUUCUGUUCGGCACUGGAUACUGGCAAACUAGAAUGCGGUAGAGGUAAAGGGAAUUCCUGGUGUAGCGGUGAAAUGCUUAGAUAUCAGGAGGAACAUCGGUGGCGUAAGCGCUUUACUGGGCCGUAAUUGACGCUGAGGAACGAAAGCCAGGGUAGCAAAUGGGAUUAGAUACCCGAGUA